rnacentral:rRNA from 1 species
GUGGGGAAUAUUGGACAAUGGGCGAAAGCCUGAUCCAGCCAUGCCGCGUGUGUGAAGAAGGUCUUCGGAUUGUAAAGCACUUUAAGUUGGGAGGAAGGGCAGUAAGUUAAUACCUUGCUGUUUUGACGUUACCGACAGAAUAAGCACCGGCUAACUUCGUGCCAGCAGCCGCGGUAAUACGAAGGGGGCGAGCGUUAUUCGGAAUCACUGGGCGUAAAGCGUGCGUAGGCGGUCUCGUAAGUUAGGAGUGAAAGCCCAGGGCUCAACCUUGGAAUUGCUCUUAAUACUGCAAGGCUAGAAUCUCGGAGAGGAUAGCGGAAUUUCCAGUGUAGCAGUGAAAUGCGUAGAUAUUGGAAGGAACACCAGUGGCGUAAGCGGCUAUCUGGACGAGUAUUGACGCUGAGGCACGAAAGCGUGUGGAUCAAACAGGAUUAGAAACCCUGGUAGUCC